rnacentral:rRNA from 1 species
GACGUAGGGCGCGAGCGUUGUCCGGAUUUAUUGGGCGUAAAGAGCUCGUAGGCGGCUUGUUGCGUCGACCGUGAAAACUUGGGGCUUAACCCUAAGCUUGCGGUUGAUACGGGCAGGCUAGAGUUCGGUAGGGGAGACUGGAAUUCCUGGUGUAGCGGUGAAAUGCGCAGAUAUCAGGAGGAACACCGGUGGCGAAGGCGGGUCUCUGGGCCGAUACUGACGCUGAGGAGCGAAAGCCAGGGGAGCAAACGGG